rnacentral:rRNA from 1 species
AUUGAACGCUGGCGGCAGGCCUAACACAUGCAAGUCGAACGAGUGGCGGACGGGUGAGUAAUGUCUGGGAAACUGCCCGAUGGAGGGGGAUAAAUACUGGAAACGGUAGCUAAUACCGCAUACCAUCGGAUGUGCCCAGAUGGGAUUAGCGAGUAGGUGGGGUAACGGCUCACCUAGGCGACGAACCCUAGCUGGUCUGAGAGGAUGACCAGCCACACUGGAACUCAGACACGGUCCAGACUCCUACUGAAGGCAGCGUUGGGAAGUAUUGCACAAUGGGCGCAAGCCUGAUGCAGCCAUGCCGCGUGUAUGAAGAAGGCCUUCGGGUUGUAAAGUACUUUCAGCGAGGAGGCGUUACUCGCAGAAGAAGCACCGACUAACUCCGUGCCAGCAGCCGCGGUAAUAC